GCCUUCGUGGUGUAGUGGUCAGCACGCUCGACGUGUAUUCGAGAGGUCCGUGGUUCGAUUCCCUGAGAAGACG
rnacentral:tRNA from 1 species